rnacentral:lncRNA from 1 species
AUGCAAGGGGGAGACCCCCGAGGGCUGGGGCCGUGCAGGGUCCCUGGGGUGCGUGCCCCAUUCUCCGCGUGUUGCUCUUUGGAAAUAAAGCACCGUCCGCGCACGCUCUUCCGAUCUGGGAGACCCCCGAGGGCUGGGGCCGUGCAGGGUCCCUGGGGUGCGUGCCCCAUUCUCCGCGUGUUGCUCUUUGGAAAUAAAGCACCGUCCGCGCUCCCACGCGUGUCUGCGCCGCAGGAAGCGCCGCCUGGCAGCGGGGGGGUGUGGGGAGGCCGGCGGGGCCGCACGUGCCGGUGGAGGAAUGCGGCGGGGCCGGCCCGGGGCGGGGCGGGGAGCGGCCCCCCCCCCCCCCCCCCCCCCCCCCCCCCCCCCCCCCCCCCCCCCCCCCCCCCCCCCCCCCCCCCCCCCCCCCCCCCCCCCCCCCCCCCCCCCCCCCCCCCCCCCCCCCCCCCCCCCCCCCCCCCCCCCCCCCCCCCCCCCCCCCCCCCCCCCCCCCCCCCCCCCCCCCCCCCCCCCCCCCCCCCCCCCCCCCGGGGCAGGGCUGUCAGCGCGGGGCUGCUCCUGCCCGCCGAUACCGGCUCCAGGGUUCGGGGGGAUCGUGGGGCUUCCCCUGCUCGCGGCUACUGGGUCCUGGAAGAUGGGUGGAGGCGGCGCUCCCGGUUUCCGGGGUACCCCGCUUCCGAGGGCUCCCGGUCCCCGAAACUUCCUGGCCCCUGGGGCUCCCCGCUUCCAAUGACUCCGGAUCCUCGGGGCUCUCCUUGUUUCGAGGAGUCCCGAUGCUCAGGGAUUCCCGCUCCCGAGGACGCCGAAUCACCGAGGUUCCCGGUUUGCCGGGACUCUGAAUCCCCGGGGCACCUCCCUUCCGAGACACCUCCCCGGAGCUCUCCCCCUUCCAAGCGCUCCCGGUCCUCGGGGCUCCUGCUGCCCGCGGGACCCCCGGCGCACUGCUCUCCCCCUGCAGCCGACAGGACGCUGAGCCGCCCCCGCUGCCGCCGCCCUUCCCGCCCCGGGCCGCCGCUGGAGCCGCCCGCGCUGUCGCUGAGCCGUGCCCGGCUGUGCCUGCCCGCGCAGCCCUGCCGGCCCUGCCUGCGGGUGCGCCUGGCCCUCCCCACCGCAGGUACGGGAGGGGCUGGCGGGGCCGGGCAUUCCCGCGGCAGGGGACACACACCCCGUCCCCCACCCGUGUCAGUGCACCACGCCUGUUUCUCGCAGAGCUCGGCGGUGUCCGGGGACUGCAGCUCACCUUCCUGGAGCUGA